UUGGCAGAUGAGUAACACCGAGUGGUUWCUAAGCAGUGCCGAGUGCUAUUUGUCCUAGUCUACCUCAGCAGCUUAAUGUGUUUACUUAUUCAUCUGCAUCUGUUAGGGUGUAGCCAAUGUCAGGAGUGGGUAAUUUUCCCARUAGAGGCAAGGUUUUGGGGCUUGUCUUACAAAACCAUCCAGACCUGGAGGWUAUUACUGUGAUUAAACUAAUUGAUUUCAAUAGGUGCUAAUCAUGCAGGCUCUGGCAAUGCAYGAUGAUGAAAAACUUCAGCGUGCCCUGUCCCUUGGACAACAAAUGGGUAUCACACUUCACCCAAAUUCUCCUAUCAAAAUGAGAUUUUUUGCAUCACAAUUUGGAUAUGUGUUUGGUUUUCCUGUAGCUGUACCCAUGCUGGGUGGAUUCACUUUACCAGCCUCAGUUUCCCACUAGGGAAUACCCUGURGAUAAUUUAAGUUCUCAUGGGUGUAAGGAGAUGUUACAAUUUAACGCCUAUUACAGGAUCUGAUUAAGCAAAUGGAAAUGACCUAACAAGUUGUCCCACAUGUCUGCUUAAACACUUAGUGCAGUGGUAGCAUUUACCGYGCCCUGACUCGUAGGUCUGGCUGGGGAGGUGGUGGUUUGCUGUUUCGUGCUUGGUCUUUCAUUGAGGUGGGUCUGAAAGCAGACAGAUUCCACUCCUCCCUUCUUCGUGCCACCAGCAAGGAGUGRGUGAGCAAAGGAUGUGACAAGGAGCACCAUGGAUGGACUGUCAGCAAGGAACCUGGAAAGGUUUGCUUUUUUCUACUGAGAUGGGGUGACCUGAACUCUGCCAAUCCUUCUCUCUGUUCAAGGUGAUUAAUUCUCUGUGGCUUCCAAGAGAGGCUGCCAAAGUUGGACAGAAACCUGCUAAAGGUGCUAGAAUACUCCAAACGUGGAAACUGGAUGAGAAGACAGAAGUUUGCUUCAAAAAAAUGAAGCCUUUACAGAGCACUUGUGGGGAGGGGAAUGAGAUACUGGAAAACCUACAUCAAGUUUCUGCCAUGAUUUGUUUUUAUUUUUGAAAAGUGCAAUUUCUCAGUGAGAAAUUUGUGACUCCCCUUCUUUUGAACAAAUCAACUAGGCAGAUUUCCAGGAAGGUAUAACCCACCACAGCACAAAGUUGGAGGACUACAGAAAAAAUUAUCCCGAAGUCCUGAGCAGGUUGUGGGGACAUAGAAUUUGYAUUUGGGGUGAAACACAUCUGAGAYAGCCUCRGUGGGAACAUGGGACCUCAGCAUUGUCCUCAUUGCAAGGAAGUGCAGUAUGAGUAGUUAUCACAGUGGGUGGAAUAAAGGUAUUGUCCACAGCACGCCAGUUCCCUGAUCUUUUUGCACUCACUUCACAAUGAAGUGAAGCUCCAGGUAUGUGCAUUUAUUGUAAUUUUUAUUAACUAUUAUUGCUAUUGCUAUUAUUAUUCAUGUACCUGUGCUCUGAAAUGACUGCA